AUUGAACGCUGGCGGCAUGCCUUACACAUGCAAGUCGAACGGUAACGGGCCUUCGGGUGCCGACGAGUGGCGAACGGGUGAGUAAUACAUCGGAACGUGCCCGGUCGUGGGGGAUAACGAGGCGAAAGCUUUGCUAAUACCGCAUACGAUCUACGGAUGAAAGCAGGGGACCGCAAGGCCUUGCGCGGACGGAGCGGCCGAUGGCAGAUUAGGUAGUUGGUGGGCUAAAAGCUUACCAAGCCGACGAUCUGUAGCUGGUCUGAGAGGAUGAUCAGCCACACUGGGACUGAGACACGGCCCAGACUCCUACGGGAGGCAGCAGUGGGGAAUUUUGGACAGUGGGCGCAAGCCUGAUCCAGCCAUGCCGCGUGCAGGAUGAAGGCCUUCGGGUUGUAAACUGCUUUUGUACGGAACGAAAAGCCUUCUUUUAAUACAGGAGGGUCAUGACGGUACCGUAAGAAUAAGCACCGGCUAACUACGUG
rnacentral:rRNA from 1 species